rnacentral:lncRNA from 1 species
GGGGCCAACUCUACCCUCCAUCCAACUACUAAAUUAUUGACUAUGGAGAUUGCUCAUCACGGCUCAUGGAAAGCAUGACAAAAUUAAAGCAGCCCAAGUAAAUCAAAUCAAUUGAAAAAGCUCAUGACAUUUAGUUACAAGGUGGGUGGUGGAGGAAGAUAGAUCUCUAUUUUUUGUAGAUUUAUGAGGUUUCCCAUUUAUGAAUAAGAAUAAGGUUUGCAUUGAUACAAUCAAGUGAGCAACACUUGUGUAAUACAUGUUGCAAUUAAACUUAUUUUUUAAAAAAUCCUCUCAAUGUUUGUUUCAUAAUGUUGUUAUAUAUAUAUAUAUAUAUAUAUAUAUAUAUAACUGAAAUUAUGUCAUUGACAACAAAUUGACAAUAAUGCAAGUUCUUUAAUAAAUUCUAUUUGAUAUCACAAAAGGGGUCUUCAUUAUGUUGUCCCCAUAUGCAUUGAUUCAACAUCCUUUUCUUUUUGUAUUAUAAUUAAGAAAAUUGUUAUGCAUUAUGGCACCACCAUACAAGAAAAAAAAAAAACGAAAACAAAGCAAAAAAAUGAUACUUACAAAGAAAAGUACUUUGGAAGACAAGUGCUAAUAAACCCUCAUAAAUUGCAAAAGUACAAAUUUAUUGGAGCGGGUUUUAUUUCAUUGUAAGAGCUUGUAUAAAGAUCAAUCAAGUAAUGCCGUUUUUGUAAAUCAUAAGAGAUGCCUACUCACUUCAUUCACGUGGUCAGUUAUCUUUAUUUAUUGUUUUUUGUUGUAUUUCGCAACCAUUGCUUCUUGUAUUCAAGUCAUUGGACCAAAAGAACAAAAACAUCAAUAAAACAUAAUGACUACAAAUACUAUGUAAUAACAUUGUUUCAGCACAUACAAACAAAUACAUUGUGCAUGGUUUUAUCAACCUCUCAAGUAAAUAAUAAAUUAAAGUGGUAAAUUACGAUGAAAAAAUACACGUGUAUUUUAUUUGUUAUCCAACAAGAAGCACAUUGUGGUUUUAAAGCAAUGAUUAUCUCUUUGAUUUAUUGGAGCCCAUUUCUAUUCUCAAUACCAUCAUUGGCAUUAAUGCAUCCUUUUCAAUUUAUGAAAACAAAACGUCACAGGAAUGGUUCAGUGCUUUUAAAGACAUUCUGUAUAAAUUUAAGAAGAUGUGUUACAGAAUAGCAUAUAUCUCAUGUAGCAAACUACCUUGAUUUACAAUUCAUUCUGUAGCAAAAAAAUAAUAAUAUGAAACGUGAAAAUAAUGUGUUGUGCAAUAUAAAAAUGCAGAUGUGAAUGCUAGAUAAUAUUACUACACACUUAUAAAUAGAAAAAAAAGUGAGUGAAAAUGAUUAUACCAGGAAACUCAGAUUUUAAAAUCUUAUUCAUAAUUUUUAAUAUUUUUAUUUAGUUGAAAGUAAAAGGUGGAAAAUGUAAGGUAUCACCACAUUAUAUUAUUUUAUGUCUUGGAUAUUCACUCUACACACUUCUACACAUAUUCAAAGUAACAAAAAAUUGCAGGUCACAAAGCAUGGUAACUUAUUUUUGAAAAUGGCCAAUAUAUAAAGGUCUUCUAUUGUAUUUCAAAAUUUGAGAACUAUAUAUUUCAUGAAAUUAAUGUUUUGAAGUUUUCUUGUAGUUUUUGAAACAAAUUGGUAUAUAUGUAUUUGCUUUAUUACUUCUUUUCCAAUGUGAAUCUAGAUUAUAAAUUGGAAACCUUUGUAUUUAUGUUUAUUGCUCAAAAAAAUAAAAAUGUAAUGCCUAUCCCAUAAUUAUUUUCUCAAAAAUGUUAUUUAAACAUAUCAAAUACUGAAUAAAAGUAGACCUUCGUAUUUGAAAAGAAAGUCACUCAAAACGUCUCUAAAAGGCAAUGUUGUGAUCUCUUCAGUUCCUUAUUCAACAGAGCAUGGAAACUUCACAUGUGGAUGAUUUGAUGCUAUUUGCUGCUGUAGAGCAUUAAAAAUAUAUGUAAUGAAUUACAUGGAUUUAUAUCAAUUUUUAAAGACCCAAAGCAUGUUGAUGGUUUUUUAGUUUCACUAAAGAUAACAAUGAGAACAGUAACUAUAAAAUUAAAAUUAAAUUAAAAAAGAAACAAAAGAUGCAUACAUUCUUAGGAAAAUGUAGUCAUGACAGAUUUGAUACUCCGCCUCAAUGAAUGCAAUUUGAAACAUUACCACUUUUGUUAAGUUGGUCAAUAAUUUGAAUUAGGAAACUUUGUACAUUAUGUAAUGUAAUAAUAGAAGAUAGAUACAAGGGUGAAAAAAAUCAUAUAUGUGUGUAUGUGUAUAUAGAAAGUAGUUGUAAUAUGGUAGGUAGAAAGUUUUUAGGUUUUGUUGUGAAUGCUUAAAGUGAUACAAUACAAUUCUAAAAUAGGUGACAAUAGAGUUUUGCAAUUGUUUUUAAUGAUUCACUUUAUAGAAUGGUCUUCUAUCUUGGGGAGUUUCAGAAGUCACCAUUAACCACAAGACUGCUCCAUGUAUAUAUAUUCACACAAAAAAGGGAUGUGUGUUUAAUAUUUUCUAAAAAUAAAUACUCAACAUCGGUUCAUUGCAAACGUAGAGAAUGGUAGUAUCACAUUUAUUGGAACAUCAUUAAUGCGAUAAUCCUAUAAUUAAUUGUUGAUUUUGCACCCGUU